CACAAGCGGUGGAGUAUGUGGUUUAAUUCGAUGUAACGCGAAGAACCUUACCUGGUCUUGACAUCCCGGGGACCCUUAGGAAACUAGGGGUGCUUCCAUCUGGAAGAAUCUGGAGACAGGUGCUGCAUGGCUGUCGUCAGCUCGUGUCGUGAGAUGUUGGGUUAAGUCCCGCAACGAGCGCAACCCUUGCCUUUAGUUGCCAGCAGUUCGGCUGGGCACUCUAAAGGGACUGCCGGUGUUAAACCGGAGGAAGGUGGGGAUGACGUCAAGUCCUCAUGGCCUUUAUGACCAGGGCUACACACGUACUACAAUGGCCGAUACAAAGGGCAGCGACACUGCGAGGUGAAGCCAAUCCCGUAAAAUCGGUCUCAGUCCGGAUUGGAGUCUGCAACUCGACUCCAUGAAGUUGGAAUCGCUAGUAAUCGUGGAUCAGCAUGCCACGGUGAAUACGUUCCCGGGCCUU
rnacentral:rRNA from 1 species